rnacentral:rRNA from 1 species
ACGUACAAGCAGUGGGAGCCCCACCACUAAGCCAGUGGUGAACUCCACAUACGCAUCCUUUGCUGAGGAUACGGUUAACGGAGCGAAAGCGACGUUCAACCUCAAAAGAAGCAGAGGGGGCUUAGUGGUGGGGUGACUGCGUACCUUUUGUAUAAUGGGUCAGCGACUUAUAUUCUGUAGCAAGGUUAACCGAAUAGGGGAGCCGGAGGGAAACCGAGUCUUAAUUGGGCGUUAAGUUGCAGGGUAUAGACCCGAAACCCGGUGAUCUAGCCAUGGGCAGGUUGAAGGUUGGGUAACACUAACUGGAGGACCGAACCGACUAAUGUUGAAAAAUUAGCGGAUGACCUGUGGCUGGGGGUGAAAGGCCAAUCAAACCGGGAGAUAGCUGGUUCUCCCCGAAAGCUAUUUAGGUAGCGCCUCGUGAAUUCAUCUCCGGGGGUAGAGCACUGUUUCGGCUAGGGGGCCAUCCCGGCUUACCAACCCGAUGCAAACUGCGAAUACCGGAGAAUGUUAUCACGGGAGACACACGGCGGGUGCUAACGUCCGUCGUGAAGAGGGAAACAACCCAGACCGCCAGCUAAGGUCCCAAAGUCAUGGUUAAGUGGGAAACGAUGUGGGAAGGCCCAGACAGCCAGGAUGUUGGCUUAGAAGCAGCCAUCAUUUAAAGAAAGCGUAAUAGCUCACUGGUCGAGUCGGCCUGCGCGGAAGAUGUAACGGGGCUAAACCAUGCACCGAAGCUGCGGCAGCGACGUUUAUGCGUUGUUGGGUAGGGGAGCGUUCUGUAAGCCUGCGAAGGUGGCCUGUGAGGGUUGCUGGAGGUAUCAGAAGUGCGAAUGCUGACAUAAGUAACGAUAAAGCGGG